GGAGGAGCUGCUGCUGCUGCUGCUGCUCUUUCCCAAAUCCACCCCCACCCCCACCCGUAGGCAGAGGGCAAUCGCUUCCUCCACCAAACCCUAGCCCUAGCCAGCCCUCCCCCCAUGGCGGCGCCCAAGCCCAUCUGGGUGCGCCAGGCCGAGGAGGCCAAGCUCAAGUCCGAGGCUGACACCGCCGCCGCCGCCAAGGCCGCCUUCGACGCCACCUUCAGGGCCCUCUCCGCCACCGACGACCCCGACCAGGACCACCGCCCCGCUUCCCCUGCCCAACCCUCCCUGGACGCUGACUCCGAUGACGACGACCACCGCCCCCAUGCCCCUCCCGGUCCACUCGACCCCUCCAGAUCCUCCGCCGCCGGUCCCGGCAUCGCCGGCGGCUCCGCCGGCUCCCCCGCCACCUUCACCGUCCUUGCCAAGGACCGCGACUCGCGCAGGCUCCCCACCGGCGGCGGGCGCCUCCGUGUCCGCGUCUCCCCCGCGGCUGGCGUCGGCGGCGGCGACCUCGACGGUGCAGUCAAGGACAACGGCGACGGCUCCUACGCCGUCACCUACGUCGUUCCCAAGCGCGGCAACUACAUGGUCCAUGUCGACCUCGACGGCUCGCCCGUCAUGGGGAGUCCCUUCCCCGUCUUCUUCAGCGCAUCCAACACCGCCGCCAACGUGACCACGACCUUCCCCACCACGCUCCCGGCUGUCUCCUCCGCCUAUCCCAACAUGGUCAACCAGACCAUGCCCAAUAUGCCAAACUAUGCAGGCUCCCUCUCGGCCUCGGCUGCCUUUCCCGGCCUUAUCGGCCUCAUCCCUGGUGCCUCUACUGGUGCUUCUGGUGGGGUUGUACUGCCUGGUGUUGGCGCCUCGCUUGGGGAGAUAUGCCGGGAGCACAUCAAUGGCAAGUGUACUAAGGUCACGGACUGUAGCAAGCUCAAUCACCCGCCACAACAGCUACUCAUGUCCGUGCUGGCUGCCACUACAUCAGUGGGUGCACUCAGCCAGGCGCCCAUGGCACCAUCUGCUGCUGCCAUGGCAGCCGCUCAGGCCAUCAUGGCUGCCCAGGCACUGCAGGCACAUGCUGCGCAGAUGCAGGCUGAUUCCAAGGCUGGAGGAGGGGAGGCUUCAGGCUCGACAAAUAAAGCUGAUAAAGGUGACACUCUGAAGAAAAUGGUUCAGAUUAGCAACCUAAGUCCACUUCUCACGGUGGAUCAUAUUAAGCAGCUAUUUGGGUACUGUGGAAAAGUUGUCGAUUGCACUAUCACAGACUCGAAACAUACUGCUUAUGUAGAGUACUCCAAACCAGAAGAAGCAAGUGCAGCUUUAGCACUCAACAACAUGGAUGUUGGUGGUCGCCCCUUAAAUGUGGAGAUGGCUAAAUCUCUCCCUCCCAAAACUAGUUUGGCAAAUAGCAAUCUGCCCAUGAUGAUGCAGCAAGCUGUUCAGUUGCAACAGAUGCAAUUCCAGCAGGCACUGAUAAUGCAACAGACAAUAGCAGCCCAACAGGCUGCUGCGCGUGCAGCCACCAUGAAAUCUGCCACUGAAGCAGCAGCUGCAAGGGCAGCUGAGAUAAGCAGGAAGUUGAAAGCAGAGGGCUUUGGUGGGGAAACUGUUGAAGAGAAGGAUGCUAAAGGGAAGUCAAGGUCGCCAUCACCGUCUGCCCGUAGAUCCAAAUCUCGGUCAAGAUCACCUAUCAAGUAUCGCCGGAGCAGGCGGUCUAGAUCAUACUCUCCCCCAGUUAGACACACACGUGGGCGCCGAUCACGUUCACCAUCAAGAUCUUACCACUCAAAGUAUGGUAAUGAUCGAUCUCAUCGGGAUGAUAGGGACAAGUAUAGCAGGUCUGGGAGAAGAGAGAGCGACCGAUCUCAUGACCAUUAUUCAUCUAGCUCAAGAAGAAACAGAAGCAGGAGUAUAAGUCCAAGGUAUAAGAAGUCCUCCAGAUCUGAUUCUCGGUCACCCAAGCGACAGAGAGAAGAAAGUUUAAGCCCAUCAAAAUCACGGAGGUCAGCUCGAGCUGGUUCAAGGUCACCCAAACAUCACAAAGGAAGCAAAUUAUCACCAGCUCGUGACCACCAUUCUUCUCGUCGUAGUAGGCAUUCUAGAUCCAGAUCUCAAGAGAAGAAUCGCAACAGUGACAAGAAAGACGGCAAAAAAAAUGAAAUGGAGGAUAACAGAAGGAGAUCUGAUAGAGGUAAUAGAGGUGACAAAGAUGAAAAGUAUAUAAAGGAUCCACUUGAAGAUAAGAAAGUAGAUGCAUCUUCUGUUGCUCACAAGAGGAGUUCAUCCGCAUCAGAAGAUGAUAUGGUGAAUAGUAAUUCCAAGAAAUCCAAACAUGAUGAUGCUUUGGAGCAUGACGAGAGGAAAGAUGAGCAUAUUGAGGAUGAUAUAAGAGAUUUGGAUUCUGCAGGAUCAAAAUCUGAUAAGAGAAGCUUAGGAAAUGGUGAUCAUGAAAAACAAAACCAUGAUACAAAUAGGAAACCAGACAACAAGAAUCAUGACAGGGAUGAUUCUUCUCGUAAGGACAGAAAAUACAGAGAGGAUGAAUCAAGACAUUCUAGAGAUAGACGCUCCCAUCAUUCAUCUUCAAGAUCCCAUAGAAGUUCAAGGCAUUCAAGGGAAAAGUAUCAUGCUGAUACUACUGAUCAGCAUAAAUCAAAGAAAUCACAAGAGGGUUCCAAGUCUAGGAAGAAUGAUCAUCUCCUUGAUGAUUCCUUCUAUUCGGAUAGAAGGAAAGUUCAGAGUGAGGACUCCCCUCGUAGGAAGCAUAAAGUGUCAGCAGCUAGUUCAGAUGUUCAUGGCAUCAACCAUGAUACUGAACCUAAGCUGCAAAAUGAUUUCUCAGAAGCUGAUCAGGAUAUCCAGGAAGCCCAGCCAGUGGUUCAUGAAACUAAUGUGUCUUCCGCAGAAUUUUCAUUGCCUGCACCACUCCUUGAGGACCCAUUUCCCGCACAAGAAGGCAAAAAAGAUCCACAUUCUACUGUUGCUGACCUUAGUGGGCAACAUGCACCUGAAGCUGAUGAUGCAUUUGUGGGCACUGAAGAGUCUGCUAUAUGAUAUUAGCCACAAUGUUUACUUGAUGGCUGAUAUAUCAUUCAGUUGGCUGAUCACAGAAUCUACUUGAUCAAUGGAUGCAGAUAGAUGAAUUGGUGCUUGUUAUCUUCCUUUCUGAUUUAGGAGUUUUAUUUGCAGGAUAUGAAGAACAUGGAGAACUUGAGUGCUGACCGGAGUGUUCAUCUGAUCUUUAAAAAUGUACUCGUUAACUCUCUAGAUGGAGAUUUUUUCUGUGGAGUAAACUUCUAGAUGUAAUGUUGGAGCUUGUGAGGUGAUUUAGUAAGUGAGGUCAAACCAACCAUAUAUUUGUCGUUGCAGGCUUGUGGUUCCUUGAAGAGUUGGAGCUCAUUCUGGGAUGUUAUUUGAAGAUACCAAGGAAGUUCACACCUUUCCAUACAAGGUCCACCCAGAGGCUAAUGUAAGUGACUGAUGAGGCAAUUGUUGAUAAAAGUCCGAGCAACCUUUUACCCUUGAUAGUUCCAGAGAUAAGCAACACAUCUUUGAAAGUUUUUCAAAGGCGGUUGCUGUUGGAGUAUAUCUGGUUUGAGGGGAGCCAGCUAAGUCUAAGAGCUGCCUGCCUGUAGAAGAGGUAAGGGUUUAAGAUGUGCUCUUCAUAAGAUUUUAGCACCCACAGAUUAUUACCUCGGUGUUGGCAUUUUGAUCUUGCAAUGGGGCUGUGCUUCUGCGUAUGUCAUAUACUCUCCAUCAUUUAUUGUAUUGGGUUACUGUGAUGUUAGAAUCUUGAUGUUUGUUUUACUGCAGAAACAGAUGCAAAUGCGUGCGGCAUAUCAGCAGUAAAACAAAUGCUGAUAUGCCGCUCGCAUUUGCAUCUGUUUUCCAUGCAUGUUUUUUGUGUGUUUGGUUGUCUUUAUUUAGGAGCGGAGUUGGUAUUGGGUGGUCAAUCAAUGGAGAUGUCAAGUUGUGUCGGAUGGCAGGACAACGGUGGUUCGGUCCCAGAGUAUUGGGUGGUCAAUUAGUAGUAGAAAGUAUUGAUGUUAAGCUCAACUCGGUAUAUGUUUGGAUCAACUGAAUCUAUUGCAAAAGGACUUGGGCAUUCGGAGAUGCUUGAAGUUGUAGCUGGUUUAGCAUAUUUUACUAAAAAACAUGAGCUAUUGGAUCUAGUUUCCCUUCAACUGUUGAUGACUGCUGCUACUAGUGUUUGGCAGUAUCAGCGGCGUCCGGUAUAGCAGGGGGUGCAUUAUUGUAUUUGUAGGCAAUCCAGUUGAGCAUGCGUGCUGCUUGUGGAUCUAGCCAGAAAUCCGUGACUGCGAAAAAGGUGGAGAAAACAGCGCAGGAGUGAGGGGAAAACAUAUCCUGCAUUUGCUUUCGUUCGCAUGAGUUGCCUGCCCUGAUUUCAUGUCAUGUUUGCCAUUUUGCUAUUAACAAGGCACAAAGACGUCGAAGACAGCGAUAUCAAUCUUUAUUCCUUCUGUCGUUCGUACACCUUGUUUGGCUCCAUCCAAAACUCUCUUUUUUCAAUCAUGCUAAAAAGGGUGUAAGGGCAUUUUUAUGAUGAAGACUAGUAAUAUAAAUACGUUG